GUUGAAGGUCUGCGGGUCUCUCGGUCAGUUCCCUUCCCUCCCCCCUUGAGACCCUCCUCUCCGUUAUCCCCAUCUUCCAGACUGAGGAUCCUGCUGGUGCCGAAGCGGCUAUGAGCGAGGGUGACUGACUCACUGAUCCUGCCCUCUCUUCAUGCCAUGUAAGAAAUCUUUUUUUCUUUUUUUGGGGGGGAGCAUUAGAAAAGAGAACACAGCUGGUUGAUUUAGGAUUUAGGAAAAGGUGGACCAUUUACUUCUUGGACAAGAAAAGGUAAGGAUGUCUUCUCAUGUUUCCUUUUUAGUCCCAAUUGAUCUUUAACACUUCCUUACAGAUACUGUCUUUCUUUUGUUGUGUCUUUUUCCAUUUAAAUUGUUGUAGUUAUGUGUAUUUUUACUAUUUUCUUGUCUCUGCUUAAUUAAUUCACUUUACAUUAGAUCAAAAGUCUUUCUUUACUUCUCGGUACUCAGCAGACUCAUCAUUUCUUAUAACAAUGUAGUUGUAUUUCAUGACAUUUGUAUUCUAUGUCUUGUUUAGCCAUUACCCAUUUGAGAGCAUCUACUUUGUUUCCAUUUCAUAGCUGUUAGUAAAAGUGCUGUUAGAAAUAUUUUGGAAUAUAUGGCAGCUGUUUUCUUAUUGACAGCUUCUUGAAGUGUAAUGGAGUGUUUGCAUUAAUCUAAAUAUCUUAUCCCACUUUCAUAGAUUCACACACCCUUCUAUACUUCACUUUAUCCUAUUCCCUACCCCACUUAUUUCUUUAUCGAUUUUGGAGGGUGCUGUCCUCUUCUUGGUAUAUGUGUAUAUAUGUAGUAUAUGUGUAUGUAUGUAUGUUUGUUUCCUCUUUAACCCAUUCCUUUUUCCCCUGUGCAAUUCCUCUCUGUUGGUUCUUGCUAUCAUGCUUUAUUCUUAUAGCAUAAUUACUAUUUUUACUUUUUCCUGGACAAUUUUGCUUUUUAGAGUCACAUCAUACUCAGCUCUUCCCCAGUUAUUUUUUCAGGCUACACAAUUUCUAAUAUCAAUCUUAGACUUUUCAUUUCCAUUUCCAAGUAUACAACAUAAACAAUUUGUCCUUACUGAGUCCUUUGAAAUUAAUCUUUGAUGUUGGUUCCUAUAUGUUAAAAUUUCUAUUGAGUUUGGGCUUGUUUGAAACAAAAUCCUGAAAAUCUGUCAGUAUGUUGAAUG
rnacentral:lncRNA from 1 species